CAGCAGCCGCGGUAAUACGUAGGGUGCAAGCGUUAAUCGGAAUUACUGGGCGUAAAGCGUGCGCAGGCGGUUUGUUAAGACAGAUGUGAAAUCCCCGGGCUCAACCUGGGAACUGCAUUUGUGACUGGCAAGCUAGAGUGUGGCAGAGGGGGGUGGAAUUCCGCGUGUAGCAGUGAAAUGCGCAGAUAUGCGGAGGAACACCGAUGGCGAAGGCAGCCCCCUGGGCCAACACUGACGCUCAUGCACGAAAGCGUGGGGAGCAAACAGGAUUAGAUACCCCGGUAGUCCCUGUCUCUUAUAC
rnacentral:rRNA from 1 species